rnacentral:lncRNA from 1 species
GCCGGCGCGUGGAACAGAAGGGAGCACGGCACUGUCAAAAGGCCGUGAGACAUGCGGGAGCCGCAGCAGGGGAGGCUGAGGGUGGAGGUUUAGAGGAAAGGAGUGAGGCUGAGGCUGCGAAGGAGGAGCGUGGUGUGGGGGGACCGGGAGGCCGUGGCGUGGGAGGAGCCUGGUGCGGGGGGACCGGGCGGGGGGGCCGUGGGGUGGGGGGGGGGUGGGGGGGGGGGGCCGGGAGGCCGUGGGGUGAGUGGCAGCACGGGCUAGGGCUGAGCUCGGGGCCAGGGCAGGGCGCUUGCCCUUGGGAGGGAGAAAACAGACAAGGGACAGGAUGUGGUGAGCAUCGGCCCGCCAAACGCCGCGGCCACGGCCUGCUGAAGUCUGUAGAUCACAGGCUCGGCAUGAAGGAGGAACAGCAGACGUGGCUGUGAGGUGCCGCUGGUGGGAGCAGAGCUGGGAAGGGAACCUGGGUGUGACCCUGGGGCCGGGGCUGAGCGGGGAGAGGGACCGGAGAAGGGACGGGGCUGCUGGAACCAAGGAGGGCGACCAGAGGAGCACGGGCCCCCACCCCAGCCCCAGCUCCCAGGUGGUACACCGACCUGUCACUCAAAAAGCAGCCUGUGAGUUUUCGGAAGAACAGAUUCUUGGCCGUGGAGCCAACACAGGUUUCUCCUGCAGCCUUAGAGGCACCUUUUCAGUAUCACAGGUGACACCAGAUGCUCCCAGUCAGACCUCAAGUGGCGGUGGUCAGAGUUCAGCGGGAACACUGGGCCUUGGCUCUGAGAUGUCACAGCUUUUCCAACACUUCUGGCCACCACAUGAGGACCCCAGCAUGAGACCAAGGGCAGUGUCUCUGCAGCCGUGGUCAGCGAUACAGAAGCUCUUGCAUGCUGGAGCACCUGGUGUGUGCACUGCAGACUUUGACGGCAGCUUUUCUUUUAUACUUUCCACAUUUUGUCCUUUGAGAGUCUGUUCUGGGAAGACAGGACCUGCUAUAAAAACAAACAAUACCAAGAUGGGUUACAAUUCGCCUCCGUCCUCAGCCCCAGGGUGGGCUGCAUGGAGUGUUGAUUCCCAGGGAGAUGACUUAAGGAGAUGUUCUCCUUCUCAAAGGAGAAGCCAAAAAUGAAGCAGACAUUCAAGUGAUCAGCUAAGGUGGCAGCAGGAGGCAGCCCAGGAAUCACAGAUGGAACUGGGAGAGGAGAUCGGUGUGAUGGGCAGUGGGACCCCUGGCUGCCGACACACUCCUCUCUCACCACCUAUCCCAUUCGAUCUUACACGUUUCUCUCUCCUCCAAUAGAGUCUGAGCUCCUGGGUGGCAGGGCUAGAGUGUGUGCACCUUUUAUCCUUGGAACAACCUCAGUUCCUGGUACAUUACAUGGUCACUAAAAGUUUGCUGCACUGAAUUAAACAGAAUUGGUUCAUGCUAUUAAAUUGUGGACAAGUUUAGAAUCAACAGAAUUGUUGGCAUUGAUGGGCAGGGCCCU